UGGUCCUAAGCAUCACAGAAUCCCAGUCUCUUCAGCAAUGGCUCAGCCAACAUGGGCCCACAAGAGGUCAUGAACCAUUGGUUUAAUGGCUCCGUGCCACUUGUAAGCCAGCAGAUCCACUCUCCAUCCUUCUCUACUCUGUCUGUGCUGUGGGAGGCUGACCCCAUCUGUUUACUUCAGUGGAGCACUAGAGCCUGCAAGAACUGAUUGUAUGCAUCUCCUCCUAACUCCGUGUUUGGUGACUGUGGUAGGAAUAUUUACACUAUGGACACUGGCAAAUACUACAACCUACAGCACCCAGUAUUCCCAGGCAGUCUUCCAUCUAAGGACUAACCAGGCUUUAUCUUGCUUAGCUUCCAAGGCCAGGGCUCUGCUUGCUCCAUUGGUUGCCAAAUCCACAUCUGGAUUUUCCUGUUCACUGGGCCCGUUUCGACUCAUGAUUUGCUUUGGACUUUCCACUUGGUUCUAUGCAUUGCUCUCUGUGAUGAUCCUGGUGGUUCAGCCUCUGCAUUUUGACACAGAAAGCCCCUGGUAGCAGUAUGGAUGGCCAUGUUGGCCUGGACCUGAAGAACACUGAAUCUCACCCACCAGGAACUGGACUCCCAAACUCCUGGCUGCUGACUCCAGGAAUUCCUAUAGCUAUAAAUGUCUACAUUGUUUUAUUUUGAUUCCACUUUGUUUAUUUGGAUCUGUGUA
rnacentral:lncRNA from 1 species